rnacentral:rRNA from 1 species
GAGUUUGAUCCUGGCUCAGAUUGAACGCUGGCGGCAGGCUUAACACAUGCAAGUCGAACGGUAACAGGGAGAAGCUUGCUUCUUUGCUGACGAGUGGCGGACGGGUGAGUAAUGCUUGGGAAUCUGGCUUAUGGAGGGGGAUAACUACGGGAAACUGUAGCUAAUACCGCGUAAUAUCUUCGGAUUAAAGGGUGGGACUUUCGGGCCACCUGCCAUAAGAUGAGCCCAAGUGGGAUUAGGUAGUUGGUGGGGUAAAGGCCUACCAAGCCGACGAUCUCUAGCUGGUCUGAGAGGAUGACCAGCCACACUGGAACUGAGACACGGUCCAGACUCCUACGGGAGGCAGCAGUGGGGAAUAUUGCACAAUGGGGGGAACCCUGAUGCAGCCAUGCCGCGUGAAUGAAGAAGGCCUUCGGGUUGUAAAGUUCUUUCGGUGAUGAGGAAGGUGUUUGUUUUAAUAGAACAAGCAAUUGACGUUAGUCACAGAAGAAGCACCGGCUAACUCCGUGCCAGCAGCCGCGGUAAUACGGAGGGUGCGAGCGUUAAUCGGAAUGACUGGGCGUAAAGGGCACGCAGGCGGUGACUUAAGUGAGAUGUGAAAGCCCCGAGCUUAACUUGGGAAUUGCAUUUCAUACUGGGUCGCUAGAGUACUUUAGGGAGGGGUAGAAUUCCACGUGUAGCGGUGAAAUGCGUAGA